rnacentral:rRNA from 1 species
AUACGUAGGGUGCAAGCGUUAAUCGGAAUUACUGGGCGUAAAGCGUGCGCAGGCGGUUUUGUAAGACAGAGGUGAAAUCCCCGGGCUCAACCUGGGAACUGCCUUUGUGACUGCAAGGCUAGAGUACGGCAGAGGGGGAUGGAAUUCCGCGUGUAGCAGUGAAAUGCGUAGAUAUGCGGAGGAACACCGAUGGCGAAGGCAAUCCCCGGGGCCUGUACUGACGCUCAUGCACGAAAGCGUGGGGAGCAAACAGGAUUAGAUACCCUGGUAGUCCACGCCCUAAACGAUGUCAACUGGGUGUUUGGUCUUCAUUGACUCAGUAACGAAGCUAACGCGUGAAGUUGACCGCCUGGGGAGUACGGCCGCAAGGUUGAAACUCAAAUGAAUUGACUGGG